AUGGCUCGCUUCGCCGUGGUCGCCGCCAUCCUCGCCCUCCUCGCAGUCGCCGCCGCCGCGCAGGGCCCCAUGCCGGCGCCCCGGAUGGCCCCGCUUCCGGCGCCACCGGCGAGGUCCCCGGUCGCCACCCCUCCAACCGCCGCGUCGCCGUCCCCGAUGGCAUCUCCCCCUGCCCCGACGACCGACGCGCCGACCGACGCUCCCUCCGCGAUGACGCCGUCCGCGGUCUCCGCCACACCCUCCGGCGCCCCCAUCGGCGCCCCGAACGGCACCCCCGCGAGCUCCGCCGUGUACUCAUCCGCCGCCAGCUUCGUCGCGGUCGCCGGAGCGGUGGCCGCCGCCAUCGUGUUCUAG
rnacentral:rRNA from 1 species